rnacentral:rRNA from 1 species
UACAGAGGGUGCUAGCGUUGUUCGGAAUCAUUGGGCGUAAAGGGCGUGUAGGCGGUUUGUUAAGUCAUGUGUGAAAUCCCUCGGCUCAACCGGGGAAGGACGCAUGAAACUGGCAAGCUAGAGUACCAAAGAGGGGGGUGGAAUUCCCGGUGUAGCGGUGAAAUGCGUAGAUAUCGGAAGGAACAUCAGUGGCGAAAGCAGCUCUCUGGGACGGUACUGACGCUGAGACGCGAAAGCGUGGGGAGCGAACAGG